UGGGGAAUAUUGCACAAUGGGCGCAAGCCUGAUGCAGCCAUGCCGCGUGUGUGAAGAAGGCCUUCGGGUUGUAAAGCACUUUCAGCGGGGAGGAAGGCGGUGAGGUUAAUAACCUCAUCGAUUGACGUUACCCGCAGAAGAAGCACCGGCUAACUCCGUGCCAGCAGCCGCGGUAAUACGUAGGUGGCAAGCGUUGUCCGGAUUUAUUGGGCGUAAAGCGAGCGCAGGCGGUUUCUUAAGUCUGAUGUGAAAGCCCCCGGCUCAACCGGGGAGGGGCAUUGGAAACUGGGAGACUUGAGUGCAGAAGAGGAGAGUGGAAUUCCAUGUGUAGCGGUGAAAUGCGUAGAUAUAUGGAGGAACACCAGUGGCGAAGGCGGCUCUCUGGUCUGUAACUAACGCUGAGGCUCGAAGGCGUGGGGAGCAAACAGG
rnacentral:rRNA from 1 species